rnacentral:rRNA from 1 species
GACGAACGCUGGCGGCGUGCUUAACACAUGCAAGUCGAACGGUAAGGCCCUUCGGGGUACACGAGUGGCGAACGGGUGAGUAACACGUGGGUGAUCUGCCCUGCACUUCGGGAUAAGCCUGGGAAACUGGGUCUAAUACCGGAUAGGACUCCGGACUGCAUGGUCUGGGGUGGAAAGCUUUUGCGGUGUGGGAUGGGCCCGCGGCCUAUCAGCUUGUUGGUGGGGUGAUGGACUACCAAGGCGACGACGGGUAGCCGGCCUGAGAGGGUGACCGGCCACACUGGGACUGAGAUACGGCCCAGACUCCUACGGGAGGCAGCAGUGGGGAAUAUCGCACAAUGGGCGCAAGCCUGAUGCAGCGACGCCGCGUGAGGGAUGACGGCCUUCGGGUUGUAAACCCCUUUCAGCAUCGACGAAGCGAAAGUGACGGUAGGUGCGGAAGAAGGACCGGCCAACUACGUGCCAGCCGCCGCCGUAA